UGGGUAACCUGCCUGUAAGACUGGGAUAACUCCGGGAAACCGGAGCUAAUACCGGAUAGUUCCUUGAACCGCAUGGUUCAAGGAUGAAAGACGGUUUCGGCUGUCACUUACAGAUGGACCCGCGGCGCAUUAGCUAGUUGGUGGGGUAAUGGCUCACCAAGGCGACGAUGCGUAGCCGACCUGAGAGGGUGAUCGGCCACACUGGGACUGAGACACGGCCCAGACUCCUACGGGAGGCAGCAGUAGGGAAUCUUCCGCAAUGGACGAAAGUCUGACGGAGCAACGCCGCGUGAGUGAUGAAGGUUUUCGGAUCGUAAAGCUCUGUUGUUAGGGAAGAACAAGUGCGAGAGUAACUGCUCGCACCUUGACGGUACCUAACCAGAAAGCCACGGCUAACUACGUGCCAGCAGCCGCGGUAAUACGUAGGUGGCAAGCGUUGUCCGGAAUUAUUGGGCGUAAAGGGCUCG
rnacentral:rRNA from 2 species